GGAGGGAUGGCCGAGUGGUCGAAGGCGGCGGUCUUGAAAACCGCUAGGGGGAAACUCCUCGUGGGUUCGAAUCCCACUCCCUCCGCCA
rnacentral:tRNA from 1 species